AUAGUACCGUGAGGGAAAGGUGAAAAGAACCCCGGGAGGGGAGUGAAAUAGAACCUGAAACCCUGCACUUACAAGCUGUGGAAGCACAUUUCUUGUGUGACCACGUACUUUUUGUAGAACGGGCCAACGAGUUACGUUAAGUAGCAAGGUUAAGCACUUAAGGUGCGGAGCCGUAGCGAAAGCGAGUUUUAACUGAGCGUUCAGU
rnacentral:rRNA from 1 species